UACAGAGGCCUCGAGCGUUAGGCGGAAUCACUGGGCUUAAAGCGUGUGUAGGCGGACUUCUAAGUGCCUUGGGAAAUCCCACGGCUCACCCGUGGAACUGCUGGGCAUACUGGGAGUCUUGAGCCACCUAGGGGCGAGCGGAACAAAUGGUGGAGCGGUGAAAUGCGUAGAUAUCAUUUGGAACGCCAACGGAGAAAUCAGCUCGCUGGGGGUGUGCUGACGCUGAGACACGAAAGCCAGGGGAGCGAACGGG
rnacentral:rRNA from 1 species